rnacentral:lncRNA from 1 species
AUUACAUAAGGCCAGAUUGGCUUCCCUCCAUUCACUUGCUCUCCGAGAGACCUUGCUAUGUCCACUAUGUGAUUAAGCGCCCCAUCAACAAACUCGUGAAUAUGAGGCCAGAGUGACUCCUUUGGUAUGUACCUGAAAAAACAUGAGUAUUAGAGAAACUAGAUGCUCUUUCUUUCUAUAUAAAGAAAGAAUUUGGAUAUGUGAUAGUACUUGUCUCGAGAACCGCAGGGGAUGCGGAUAAUGUAGGAACCACAGCUUCCGCUACCUUCUGGAGGGCAUGAUAACAUCUCAACUGGCUCUCCAUAGCUUGAGUCAACCUCUGGUGAACUGAUUUGCCGUGUUAAGAGGUCGAC